rnacentral:sRNA from 1 species
AGGGCAGAGGGAGGAAGGACAGCAGACCAGACAGUCACAGCAGCCCUGACAAAAGCGUUCCUGGAACUCAAGCUCUUCUCCACAGAGGAGGACAGAGCAGACAGCAGAGACCAUGGAGUCUCCCUGGGCCCCUCCCUACAGAUGGUGCAUCCCCUGGCAGAGGCUCCUGCUCACAGCCUCACUUCUAACCUUCUGGAACCCGCCCACCACUGCCAAGCUCACUAUUGAAUCCACGCCGUUCAAUGUCGCAGAGGGGAAGGAGGUGCUUCUACUUGUCCACAAUCUGCCCCAGCAUCUUUUUGGCUACGUCUGGUACAAAGGGGAAAGAGUGGAUGCCAACCAUCAAAUUAUAGGAUAUGUAAUAGGAACUCAACAAGCUACCCCAGGGCCCGCAUACAGUGGUCGAGAGACAGUAUACCCCAAUGCAUCCCUGCUGAUCCAGAACAUCAUCCAGAAUGACACAGGAUUCUAUACCCUACACAUCAUAAAGUCAGAUCUUGUGAAUGAAGAAGCAACUGGCCAGUUCCGGGUAUACCGUGAGUGAUUCCCUCAUGACCUCUGGAUGUUGGGGGUCAGUUCU